rnacentral:tRNA from 1 species
AGUAUUAUGUCUGAUUAAAGUAAUAAAUUGUAAAUUUAUUUAAGAAUUAAAUAUUCUAAUACUA